UUACAGGAGAGGUGGGACUGACUGGGUGAAAUUACUGGAGAGGUGAGACUGACUGGGUGAAAUUACAGGAGAGGUGGGACUGACUGGGUGAAAUUACAGGAGAGGUGGGACUGACUGGGUGAAAGUACAGGAGAGUUUCACCAGGUCAUAGGAGUCCAAUUCGAUAUGAAGUUUCUGUUGAACAUUUGGCUUAGUGUGUUUUUACUCCAUUUGAACUUGAGCAACUCCUGAUUAAUGACAGUGUUGAAACAAUGAUUUGAUUUUUCAGAAGCAUUUAUUUGGUUCUCCAUCCUCUUGCAAUGGACUACCAUUUCCCCAAACAUCUUUUUGCUUUAUAACACUUUAGUGUGGCUUUACAGAUGUUCCUGCUGGAUGUUCUACAGGUCAGUAAUGUUACUCAUUGCCUGCAUGUCAGUCAGUCAACCCCACUGUCUCGUGUCUGUCUGUAAUCUCUCUGGCCUGGAGUCCUUUCUGGCCUGGAGUCCUUUCUGUCCCUGGCUCUUUUGCAGAUUGAGGCCUUCCAUGUUUUUCUGAGGAAGAGGAACUGACCCAUCCCUACCUUCAGGCUAGUGAGCCUCAGCGGUUUGACACCCAUUGACAAACUCCUGCCAUGGGUGGUUGUCUCCAUGCCUUUUGGUUUCUUCUCCUAUGUCCCGCUGUAGUUCAUGUCGCAAGUCUUGAGUGUUCCCUGGUACCUCACAUCAAGCUGCCUGUUUGAGACCCUCAUGACAUCCCAGCCUGUGAUCUACUCUUCCUUCACACACAGUAUGACCCGCCAACCCUAUCUCCCAGUCUUUAUCCUCUACAUCCUCAACCACUGUUUGCCUUGCUCCAUGUCUGUAUCCUCAUGACUACUGUAGGUAUCCCAAACAAAUCACUGAGCUGUCGCCUGAUCUCUGCAGGGUUAUUGCCGCUGCUUCUUGAGAAUUACCUGACUGUAUGAAACAAGAAGUACCAUUUACUUUCCUUAGGGCAUCGGUAUGGUUACUGCCUUCCAUACUCUUCCUGUGUCCGUGUAACCAUGGUUACAAGUUGCAAUUCUUGAAUGACUCUAGUUACAGUAUCACAAACCCCUGUUUUUCACCAUGGUUUCUGUCUCUUUCCUGGUAGUGUAUUCAUGUGCUUUCGCUGAGCAUGAGACACUCUGCCACAGCCUACAGUAAGAGCUUGAUAUCCACUGUCUCGUUUUUCAUAUUGUAUUGACGAAUUGCAAGCAGUAACAAUUGAUAAAAUCAUACAUUUUCAGUCUCACCUGUCCCUUGGUCUGUAUGUUUCUCCUUCUUUCUCUGAUAGGAAUGAGUGUGGAGCUGGUGGCCUCUGUGAUUCAGGGUCAGGUUGUGGCUGUAUUCUACACAGAGAAGGCUGGGGCAUGUCAGCAGUUGGACCAGAGCCAGGGGCUGCCUCACAACACACCUUCACCACAAACCGUUACUACAGACCAUGGUACUACUUCCCCUCUGAGACACACUGCAAGUAAAUGUUUCCCAGUCUCAAACCCUAGCCUAACCCAGCACUGAAGUACAUACCGCUCUCCUACUAUGUUGGUUUAGCAGCGUUUCUUUGUCUGUGGAAGUGAACUUACCUAUAAUGCCAGGGAUAUCAUAUUACACUAAUUAACUGUCCUUAGCACAACAAAGGCCAUUCGUGUGUGUGCAUGUGGGAGCAUGCAUUUCAAGGACGUGAGUUUCUUGUUUGUUUACCCAUAGGCCUGUGCAUUUUAUGCAUACAUGUGAAGGACUUGUGUUUGUGUAGCCUUGUUUAUCUGUGAGGUUUUGUGUAUUUUUCCCCUGUUGGAAGUUUUUCCUGACCUCAGUGCUAGUCAAUGGUGGGCUGUUCUUCCUCUGCUGCCUUGUCCUCUUCCUGGGGGUGAAAGAGCUGCGGAGUGAGUCAACUGUCAGAACAAUGGAGUUAGGGUUAGUGUGGUCAGUUUAGAACUGCUAGAGCAAAGCACAUGGGAGGUCAAGGUUCAGUAGAACAUGUUAAAGAGUCUAGAGCUGGGAGGUGACUAAAUAAUGGAUAGGCUUGGAACUAAAGUAACUUAUGACAUGUCAUGGUGAGUAAGUAUAAGUUUUCUACAAUACCAAACACCUCUCUCUGAUUUUUGCCUCCAGCUCCCCUCUAGUGUGGAUAGUGUGUGUCCUAUCUCUCCACUCUAAAGAUGCUAGUGUGCCAUGUUCCUUGCCAACGACUGGGCCUUGGUUUCUCUUUGCUGCACUUGCCUUCUAGAUAAAUCCUUGCCUGGACUGCAUCCAAAUAGAUCAACAAAAAAUGACAAUCUUGAGUCAACUAAUGCACAUUUGUCCCUUAGAUAUCUUUGGGGAACUUUGCACUGUUCUGUACCCAUGCAGCUGGGCUUGGGUCCCAGUUCCAGCACCUUCUGUCUCUGCUGGUAAGACAUUGCUUGUUGCUACACACAGUUCUGUCAACGUCACACAUAGUUGUAUCACACACCCCACACACUCUUGGCCACAAAAGGACGGUCUGAUUGGCUCAACACACAGAUGACAGAACACAAUUCUUAUCCAAUCUGGCAUAUCAUACUCUUUAUGAUUUUCUAUAUUUGUGUAGCUGGUAUUUGUCUCUGGAAGCUAACUACUUAUUCCUUAUUAAAGGGCAAAAACUAUAGCCACGAGACAUUAUCUUGUUAGUGUUUAAUAUCUGGGAUGGUUGUUUGUCCUAACAGAUUGCAGCAACUACAGCUGUUUCACUGUUACAGCCAUCUCUGGUACGGGCUUGGAAAUAGAUUACAAUCUCCAUUGGUUUGUAAGCACAACAUUGUUUCUCCCUUUAUGACAAGUUUAUGCUUACAGUAAUUUUUUUUUCUUCGUAUUUACUGCCAGUCUUCGUGGCCGUGUGUGAUGCUAGGAUUCAGCUUGGCAACCGUGUUCCUGCUGCCUUGGCGAGUCUGCAGUUAGAAGGCCACGACUCUGGCUUAGCGUUGUCUCUGCUCUCUACUGUACUCUGCUCCAGUUCUGUCUCUGCCUCUGUCACUCUGAAUGACACUCAACACACACAAAAUGCUGACUUGAUGAUUCAUUCAUAAACCCCCAUGACAGCCUGUCAAGUGUUGAAUAUUCUAAUAUGCUGAUUUGACACUUGGCCAGUUUACACUUCAAUCGAUUCACCAGACAGUGCUUGUUGCAUAAUCUGCGUUUGGUCUGAUUUGCGAACCAGUCUCUUAUUAUUCAUGUAGGUCCAUGCUCCCGGACGUGGUAGAUGACUUCGCUGUGAAAAAAACCUGCUGCAAGGACCUGCUACGCCUUCUGCAGUAAGCUAGGGGAGGCCUGUCUGUUGGAAUCUCAACCAUGACUAACAUUGAGUCAUACAUCCACCUACUCCUCCUCUCCUCCUUAUUAUGUAAAAUCUGAUUUCAUGUUUCUAUCACCAUAUCUCAUUUUAUGUUGUGUUCAUGCAUGCGUGUAUAAUUUGUUUAUAUGCUUGUUUGUAAUGCAGCUUUGUGGGGUACACUAUAAAAAGGGUCCCAAAAAGGUACUUAAUAAUAAUAAUAAUAUAUGCCAUUUAGCAGACGCUUUUAUCCAAAGUGACUUACAGUCAUGUGUGCAUACAUUCUACGUAUUCAACUGUCCCCAUAAAAAAACAUUUUGGUUUGAGGUACGACCCUUUUUGGUUUCCAGUAGAACCCUUUUGGGGAAAGGGUUCUUCCUGGAACCCAAAGGGGUUCUACCUGGAACCAGAAAGGGUUCUUCAACGGGUUCUCUUAUGGGGGAUAGCCGAAGAACCAUUUUAGGUUAAAGAGUGUACUGUGCAGUUGCCUGUAGACAAAGUGAGGACAUGAUGACUGCUCUGAUUGUACUGUUUGCCCCUGUGCCCAUCACCCUGCUGCUGGUAGGGCUGGUCUUCUUCCACUUGUACCCCGUCAACGAGGAACGACGCCUCCAGCUCCAAAGAGAGCAAGGCAGAGAGGUUGAAGCCAUACAUUCAACUGAUAGAGGAAAUAGGCUCAACACUCAGUCGUCAGUCAAGACGCCAACCACCUUUUUAUUUAUUUUAAUUUUAUUUAGCCUUUACUUAUCUAGGCAAGUCAGUUAAGAACAAAUUCUUAUUUACAAUGCCGGCAAAACCUGAACGACGCUGGGCCAAUUGUGGGACGCCC